UACGGAGGAUCCGAGCGUUAUCCGGAUUUAUUGGGUUUAAAGGGAGCGUAGGCGGGUUGUUAAGUCAGUUGUGAAAGUUUGCGGCUCAACCGUAAAAUUGCAGUUGAUACUGGCAUCCUUGAGUACAGUAGAGGUAGGCGGAAUUCGUGGUGUAGCGGUGAAAUGCUUAGAUAUCACGAAGAACUCCGAUUGCAAAGGCAGCCUGCUGGACUGUAACUGACGCUGAUGCUCGAAAGUGUGGGUAUCAAACAGG
rnacentral:rRNA from 1 species